rnacentral:rRNA from 1 species
UGGGAAUUUUGGACAAUGGGCGAAAGCCUGAUCCAGCAAUGCCGCGUGUGUGAAGAAGGCCUUCGGGUUGUAAAGCACUUUUGUCCGGAAAGAAAUCCUUGGCUCUAAUACAGUCGGGGGAUGACGGUACCGGAAGAAUAAGCACCGGCUAACUACGUGCCAGCAGCCGCGGUAAUACGUAGGGUGCAAGCGUUAAUCGGAAUUACUGGGCGUAAAGCGUGCGCAGGCGGUUUGCUAAGACCGAUGUGAAAUCCCCGGGCUCAACCUGGGAACUGCAUUGGUGACUGGCAGGCUAGAGUAUGGCAGAGGGGGGUAGAAUUCCACGUGUAGCAGUGAAAUGCGUAGAGAUGUGGAGGAAUACCGAUGGCGAAGGCAGCCCCCUGGGCCAAUACUGACGCUCAUGCACGAAAGCGUGGGGAGCAAACAGGAUUAGAUACCCUGGUAGUCCACGCCCUAAACGAUGUCAACUAGUUGUUGGGGAUUCAUUCCUUAGUAACGUAGCUAACGCGUGAAGUUGACCGCCUGGGGAGUACGGUCGCAAGAUUAAAACUCAAAGGAAUUGACGGGGUCAUAGCUGUUUCCU